GCAUGGGGUUCCGAGUGGGGGCGGUGGGGGGCGGGUCUGAGCCGGCCUCUGGGCCCAGCCAGGGUCGCUCCGGGGU
rnacentral:pre_miRNA from 1 species